GCCCGCCCUCUGGGAGCCAGCCUGGCUUCCCCCUCACAGCCCCGGGCCCCCCGGGAGACGGUGCGUCUGGGACUGAGCCCCGGCUCUGCCCCUGCCUCACGGGGGACCAGGCAAGGCCUGGCCCUUCUGUGCAGCACGGACCCCCCACUACACGAGCUGUGUGUCCCAGCCCCCUCCCAAACCUGACACACACAUGCAGCCUCUCGGGAGCACCUGGUGGCCAGCGAGCCUGUGAACACGGCCGCCCCGGCUACGCCGCCCAGGGAGCUGCCCCGGAUAACGGGGCUACGUCAGCGCCUCCAUCCCCUGCCGCGCACGGGGCCAAGGGUAGGCAGGACGUCUGGCCCACGCCGCCCCUCGCUCUGCUGGAGGCCAUGCUGCCUUGGCGGGUAGGCCUGACGGUUGAGAACGAUGGCAGAUGCACGUUGGGGCACGUGAAGAGCAGGGCAGAGGGGCCCAGGUCUCUCCCCGCACCACCCCGGGGGGCCGGAGCCCCUUUCCUCACCACCAGAGGCUGUGGGCUGUGCGCCUGCCUGCGGCCCGCAUCCAGGCCCUGGGCUCAGAGGCCUCCGGGCAGAUCUUGUGAAGGACAGGACCUCCAGGCUGCACACGCGCCCCAUCCGCAUCCCAUGGAGACCUGUGACCGGGGGCUUCCAGAAGCUCUCAGGUCAAGUAAGGGAUGUGCCCAUGGGGUCUCCCCUACCAAGGUGAUGUCUCCUACCAGCUAACACAGUUCUCGAAUUAGGUGCAGGGCCAGAGCCCCGACCCCACAACCUCAAGGGCUCACUGCUGCACCGCCAGGCCCAUUUCCGGGAUCCAUGAGAGAACGCCAAGGCUCGGAAAGGCGAGCUGACCACCCCAGCGCUCUCCAGGCCGGACGGGUGGAUCCACGCCGGCCAGGGUUCCCAGGAAGAGCACGUCCAUGGGCUUGGCGAACGCCGGAACAUCAGCGGAUGAGGCUAAGUGUCAGAUCAGCUGCACGCGACCACGGCACUGAAGGCUGCAGGACACAGGAGAGGAGGCUUUCUGUGGACGCUGGCCAUGGGGGCAGAGGUGGACCCCACAGAGACAGGCCAGUUGCGAGGCAGGGGACCUGGCCAGAGCCUUCUCAACCGGCUGUCCGGACCUGUUAUCAAACACCAGUCGCAAGGAAGCAAGGCCCUGGCAGAAAGGACACGGUCUGAGCAGUGGAACGAACCAGAGCUACGCAUGGACCGCGGGCUGGAGUGGGAUGGCGGGGAGCUGGCAGGACGGCGGAGGGAGGUCGGCCUUCUCCAUGAAGGGUGCUGAGCCAGCCUGCAUAACCAAGGGGGAGAAAAUGUACCUUGACCUCAGCCUCACAUUGGAUGCAAAAAUCGAUUCCAGAUGGACCACGGAUCUACAUGUGAAAGGUGAGCUAAUAAAGCUUUAAAAAACCAGAAUAUCUUUAUGACCUUGGAGUAGUCAAAGCUUCUUUAAUAGGAUACAAACAGCACUAUCCAGAAAGGAAAUGUUUGAUUAACUGGAUCACAUUAAGAGUUCACUUAAAGUUCUUCUGUUCGUCAAAAGACGCCCCUCUCGGGAGGAACGGCCCGCUGGGGGGGAGCCGGUGGUUCUGUGCUAGGGAAGCACGCGUGUGUGUGUGGGCACGUGGGAGCACGAUCGUUUCUGCCCCUCGCAAGCCCUCGCCAGGACACGGGAAGGCAGACAGAAAGAACAAGUGUACAUCAGUAAGAAAAGAAGUCACGAGCAUUUUUACAAAGGACAAUAUCCAACCAAGUAGCAACACGGGGAGGGGCUCAGCUGCCUGGGCCGUCGGGUUCCUGUGGACGAAGAUCCCGAUCCACCGCCGCCAGAUCCCGCCCCGGCCAGGCCGAGAGGGAGCGCCGCAGGAGGGCCGGGUGCGGGGAGGCCCAGGCCCGGGCGGCGGGGGCGGAGCGGCUGCGCCCACGGGGACGCUGCUCGGCAGGACUUGGGGGCAGUAAGCGCGCCCGUCCAGCAGCCCGGCGGCCCCACACCUAGGCAGACGCGCGCCGGAAACGCAGCCUGUAUGUUCGCCAGAGAGCCUGCACAGGAUAUUCUUAGCACUAAUGUUAACAACCCGGCGCUGGAAGCGGUCGACAAUAGAACGGAUAAACAAAGUGUAGGCCGUUCACACGGUGGCGGGCCAGCCACCCGGAGCGCGUGAAGCGCUGCUCUGCACAGCCACGUGGGCACGUCUCCCGGGAAGCCAGACGGACACACAGGUGUGCUGCCGGGGGCGUCUGUCUGUCGAGGGUUCAAGAACGGGCAACGCCGAGUCCUGCUGCCAGAAGCCGAGACGGCGGUGACUGGGCAAAGGCGUGACCGGAAGUGGGCACACAGGGGCUUGCCCGGGACCCCUCUGUCUGGGUGCUAGUUAUAUGUGGCCCAUGCUGAGACGUACCAAGUGCUCUCGAGAUCUGUGCGCUCGUGUGUGCGCGUCAUCCCUCAACUGGAAUGUUGGAAGCACCCUGUAUGCAAGUUCGGACCUCUCUGGGCCUAACUUGAGAGCUGGACAACCCAGGCCUGGAGAGCGGCCGGGCCUGACCUCCCACUCAGGCCUCCUGACCACGCUGCCCUCGGGCUCAGCCUCCCCUUCUACGUUUGGGCCCACGGGGGACCUGCGACCACCAGAAAUGUCUCCGUGGCAACCCCAGCGCCAUCUGUGAAGCUGUCCCUCACACCCGCCAACAUUGCCUGCCAGGUGCCGGCCAGCCUUGCCCAAGACCUGCCGUGGAGAGACCUGAGUCCAGCCACUGGGGCGCCCCCAGACCAGGAGUUACUGUCAUGGCCGCCGAGGAAGUAAGAGGCCUCCCGCCCUCCUCCGGGCCUUCUACCUGGACCGAGGGCCCACUGCCCGGAGCGCUGGCCUCAGGAGGCCGGCUGCAUUCUCCUCACGUGCUCAGAUGGAGGAAGUGAGGCUCCCAGAGGUUAGGGGGCCUCCGGGGCCGGCCUGCAGCUGGGCCGAUGCAGGCUGAGAGCCAGAUUGAGGGCAUCUGAUUCCCAGUCCCGUCUCUUUCCCACUGAGCCACUCCGCCUCGCUUUUAAUUUAAUUAGGAGAACAUUUAAUCCCCCCGUGCAUUUCAGAGACGGGUUGGAGCUGGCCGGGGCUGGGAGGCUCUGACGGGGCCUGUGACUCACGCAGCCCUGCACAGCACUCCCGGGCGGGCUCCCACGGGGCUUCCUUGGCACCUCGUGCAGACAGAGGUGGUCUGGAGCUCCGAAGAAGACAGGACACCGGUCUGGAAAAGACAAACUGGUCUCAUCUGUUCCUGGCAAGCCCCCUCCUUCAUCCCCCUGGAUGCUAGCCCCGAAGUGGCUUUUUCAUCCUUUCCCACCAAAGUUUGCAGGGCGAGAAAUAAAGCAAGGAGCAUGGCUGCUCGAAGAGGUGCAGUGCCUGGCGUCUCUGCAGUCCAUGGGAGUCAUUUGCAGCUGGCCCCAGGGUCCCCGAAACAUCCCCAGCUGAGCUGGUCCCAUCCAGAGAGCUAGUCCACAGAGCCGAGCGCAGGGCCGAGCCUUGUGACAUUUGCCCCCGUUUCCAGAAGGCAUGGGGCUGGCCAUGGCCUCACUGACAAACGCAGAAUUCAGGAGACAUUAGUAGUGAUGUGGACGAAAGCCAGGCCGCAGCGGCCUUGCUGGAAGAGAGACACUUGAGCGUUUUGGCAUGAGACUCCGCAGGGUCCAGGAGAAAGUUGGAGACAUGGAAAUUCUAAUUAACGCACACGGGGCUGGUUUUGCUCAAGGAUCUACGGGCUGUCCUGUCACAGAAGGCCCAGAGGCCCACGGUUGCUGGGGAGGUGCUCACGGUCACCUGGUGGGGGCCCACGGUUCCCCAGCCCCGGCCCUGCCUUCCCUCUGCCCGCGGCCCUCCCCAUGCCCACGUAGAUGCACAGGGCGUUGGGCUGUGCCCCCCCGCCCCCUGCAGAGCAGGGCAGGGAGGGGGCGGCUGGUAAGCAGAAGCAGAGCCUCGUCCAGCCUCAACAGGGAGAUGGAGGAACCCUUCAGGGGAACCCCAGGCCGAGGUGUUUGUGGUGGGCCUGACCUCUCACACCACCUGCCUGGGGGGCCCACAUGCACCCAAUGGGAUGGAUGUGGACUCCUGGCCAGGCCUGGCUGUCGUGGCAGCUGGGCGAGGCGUGGGGGGCCGUUUCCCAAGGCUGCUGGGACAAGGGUACCCAGGCCCAAUCAGAGCCACAGAUCCCCAUGCGGAGGCCAGUUCUGACCAGCCGCCCGCUGCCCUCCAUGCUAACAUCCCUGCCGAGGCCCCACGGCCCUCACCGCCUCGUCUCAGGGGAGGCCGGCCUGGCCCUGGGGGCGGGGGGUCCGGCCUGCCUUGGGGCGGGAGCCACAGUCCUGGAGCUCCUUCCAGCCGGGGGCUUCAGGAGUGCCAGGGAGGGGGAGCCUGAGAAGAGCCACGCAUACCCUGCUCUUGGGGCCCUGACUGAGGGCUCAGGGAGCUGGUACGGAAGCCCUGACAGCCAGAGGAGGACGUGGCCUCCCUGGGGCGAGGACGAUGGAGAAGGAAUCUGAUGGCUGCCGAUGAGGGACAAGGCGGUUUCAGAUGGGGACACCACGUGCAAGGCACAGGGAUGCACACAGAGGUGGCCCUCCCUUCCCACUGUCCCGCCGGUGGCCCUCAGUGGGCAGAAGGCAGUGGGUGGGGCAGGAGGCCAGAAACUCAUCCCAGCUCCUGUUGGGGCGCAGGGCUCUCCUCCUCUCCUAGAUACCCCGUCUCUACCUUACACUUGCCCCUUGGAAGCCCUGUGGCAAGGCUCUGGGUCGGGGGGACACAGGUGCAGAGAGCUCGAGGCAGACAGGGGCUCCUGGAAGGUAUGUGUGUGAGACUGCGGCCCAGCCCCCUGGAGCUGGGCGACGGCCCCAGGGCUGCAUGGGGACGCUGGGGCUUGCUUGUGCGGCCCAGACCACUCUGCCUCCCCGACCCACGGUGUCCCGGCGACUCCCUAGUUUGCACCCGGUUUGCUCACCGGCCCCCAACCCCCCCACCCCUCACCCCACCAAUGGCCAGCAGGCCCCGGAAAGAGGAGCUUCGCCCAGCCCCAGGGACCUUCCCGUAAUCAAGGCUGCAGUGACCUCACCUCCCUGGGGCCCAGCGGGUGGGGAGAGCUUGAGAUGGAAACAAAAUGUGUCUUUAUUUAUGCUUUUAAUUUGAAUUCUGGAACUGACCCAACGUGGUAAUACACUUAACCUCAGUAAAAUGCUGAAGAAAAAUGAA